rnacentral:rRNA from 1 species
UACGUAGGGGGCGAGCGUUGUCCGGAUUUAUUGGGCGUAAAGAGCGCGUAGGCGGCUUGCCAAGUCGUGCGUGAAAUACCCCGGCUCAACCGGGGGGAGUCGUGCGAUACUGGUGGGCUUGAGGCCGGUAGGGGGAAGCGGAAUUCCCGGUGUAGUGGUGGAAUGCGUAGAUAUCGGGAGGAACACCAGUGGCGAAGGCGGCUUCCUGGACCGGUCCUGACACUCAGGAGCGAAAGCGUGGGGAGCGAUCCGG